UAGCAGGAGUCAAACAAUGUAGCUGUGAAGUGCUGUGCUGUUGUUCCCCCUGCUCAAAAUGUAGUUAUGUCUUAACUACACUUGUCUGCUAUACUCCUGUAGCUGCCAGAGACACUUGAUCUCUUACAU